UUUUUUGGGUACCUGAAUGUUGUCGGUUUGAGUGCAGAAGUCUUGUUCAGUUCCUCUGGGUCAGAUGAGUUAAGGUGAAGUGUCCAGAACCAAAGAAGAAAAAUAACAAUUCCAUUCACUCACCUAUACCACUUCUGGAUUCACAAAAUGGCUGCCCAAUGUCACUUCUCCUUCUGGCUCCUGAUGAUGACGUCACUUCCGCUCUCCCAAUAAUGACACCAGUUCUGCUCCCCCAAUAAUGGUGUCACUUCUGGCUCCUGAUGAUGAUGUCACUUCCAUCUCCCUCAUGAUAACAUCACUUCCAAUUCCUUCCCAAUGACAUCACUUCCAACAGUUUUAAUGUCAUUUCCUGCCACAUCACAUCCGACCGCGAUUUUCUGUAUAAAGAUCACCAUCUUCCAACUGUAUAUUGUCAAAUACUUUGGUUUUUGAUCAGUUUUCAUUACUAUUUUCAUAACGUCCACUGGACAUUAUAUGGGGCAAUUUCACAACUCUAUUUGAUUUUGUGGACCUCAAUUAUUUCUUAUUAUACAUCCUAUUAUGGAACUUAAAACACAAGCACCAUCUAGAUCAGCCACCUUUUCUGAUUAAUCAUUGUGAAGAGCAAAGAUUUUUAUUUAAAGUGGUCUUUUUAGUGGUAUACUAUAAUGAAGGACAACUUUUUUAUUAAAUACUGAGAGUCUACUAUGUGAUUUACUAAUAAAGUCAGAAGUAUUAAUUUGUGUUAUUGUUUUCACUAAACAUUCUGCUACUGAAAUCAUACCGUAUCUGCCUUCACUCUUGUGCAGAUGAUAUUUAGCUAUAUCUUUCCUUCAGACAACAUUACAUUUCUUCAGUAAUGUCCUUAAUUAACUGUGUAAGUAAACUGAAAGUGUGGAUGGAUGAUAACUGCUUCUGUUUGAAUACAGAAUUGUGGGAAUGGCACAGACAGCAGCAAGAUCCUGUCACUUUUUAAAUCCACUGGCUUCCUCAUUAGCUUCACUGAAUUGCAUGUAAGAUAACAGUUAUCUUUAUAACACCAAUCCAUCUUUGAAUCACAUUGUUCUCUUUUUCAUUUUCAGUUAAAAUGUUGCUGCAAGAGUCAUUA